rnacentral:rRNA from 1 species
AUUGAACGCUGGCGGCAGGCCUAACACAUGCAAGUCGAGCGGAUCGGCGGACGGGUGAUUACUGCCUAGGAAUCUGCCUGGUAGUGGGGGAUAACGUCCGGUAACGUUCGCUAAUACCGCAUACUAUCAGAUGAGCCUAGGUCGGACUAGCUAGUUGGUGGGGUAAAGGCCUACCAAGGCGACGAUCCGUAACUGGUCUGAGAGGAUGAUCAGUCACACUGGAACUGAGAAACGGUCCAGACUCCUACGUGAGGCAGCAGUGGGGAAUAGUGGACAAUGGGCGAAAGCCUGAUCCAGCCAUGCCGCGUGUGUGAAGAAGGUCUUCGGAUUGUAAAGCACUUUAAGUUGGGAGGCGUUACCAACAGAAUAAGCACCGGCUAACUUAGUGCCAGCAGCCGCGGUAAUUC